rnacentral:rRNA from 1 species
UACGAAGGGGGCUAGCGUUGCUCGGAAUCACUGGGCGUAAAGGGUGCGUAGGCGGGUCUUUAAGUCAGGGGUGAAAUCCUGGAGCUCAACUCCAGAACUGCCUUUGAUACUGAGGAUCUUGAGUUCGGGAGAGGUGAGUGGAACUGCGAGUGUAGAGGUGAAAUUCGUAGUUAUUCGCAAGAACACCAGUGGCGAAGGCGGCUCACUGGCCCGAUACUGACGCUGAGGCACGAAAGCGUGGGGAGCAAACAGG